rnacentral:tRNA from 1 species
GUUUUAAUAGUUUAAAAAAAAUAUUGGUCUUGUAAACCAAAAUUAAGGAUCACCUUUUAAAACU